CUUGGUCAUUUAGAGGAAGUAAAAGUCGUAACAAGGUCUCCGUUGGUGAACCAGCGGAGGGAUCAUUACAGAGUUUACAACUCCCAAACCCAAAUGUGAACAUACCAAUCGUUGCUUCGGCGGACUCGUCCCGGCGUCCGGGUGGCCUUGUGCUGCCCGCGGCCCGGAUCCAGGCGGCCGCCGGAGACCAUCAAACCCUUUGUAUUAUACGUAUCAUCUGAAUCCGCCGCAAGGCAAAACAAAUGAAUCAAACCUUUCAACAACGGAUCUCUUGGUUCUGGCAUCGAUGAAGAACGCAGCGAAAUGCGAUAAGUAAUGUGAAUUGCAGAAUUCAGUGAAUCAUCGAAUCUUUGAACGCACAUUGCGCCCGCCAGCAUUCUGGCGGGCAUGCCUGUUCGAGCGUCAUUUCAACCCUCGAGCUCCCUUUGGGGAGCCCGGCGUUGGGGACCGGCAGCUACCGCCGACCCCGAAAUACAGUGGCGGCCCGUCACGGCGACCUCUGCGUAGUAAUCCAACCUCGCACCGGGAACCCGACGCGGCCACGCCGUAAAACACCCCAAUUCUGAACGUUGACCUCGGAUCAGGUAGGAAUACCCGCUGAACUUAAGCAUAUCAAUAAGCGGAGGAAAAGGAACCAACAGGGAUUGCCCCAGUAACGGCGAGUGAAGCGGCAACAGCUCAAAUUUGAAAUCUGGUCCCCAGGGCCCGAGUUGUAAUUUGUAGAGGAUGCUUUUGGCAAGGUGCCUUCCGAGUUCCCUGGAACGGGACGCCAUAGAGGGUGAGAGCCCCGUCUGGUCGGACACCAAGCCUCUGUAAAGCUCCUUCGACGAGUCGAGUAGUUUGGGAAUGCUGCUCAAAAUGGGUGGUAAAUUCCAUCUAAAGCUAAAUAUUGGCGAGAGACCGAUAGCGAACAAGUACCGUGAGGGAAAGAUGAAAAGAACUUUGGAAAGAGAGUUAAACAGUACGUGAAAUUGCUGAAAGGGAAACGCUUGAAGUCAGUCGCGUCAUCCAGGGAUCAACCUUGCUUUUACUUGGUGCACUUUCUGGUUUGAUGGGUCAGCAUCAAUUUUGACCAUUGGAAAAAGGCCAAGGGAAUGUGGCAUCUUCGGAUGUGUUAUAGCCUUUGGUCACAUACAAUGGUUGGGAUUGAGGAACUCAGCACGCCGCAAGGCCGGGUUUUAAACCACGUUCGUGCUUAGGAUGCUGGCAAUAUGGCUUUAAUCGACCCGUCUUGAAACACGGACC
rnacentral:rRNA from 1 species